AGAGUUUGAUCAUGGCUCAGAUUGAACGCUGGCGGCAUGCCUUACACAUGCAAGUCGAACGGCAGCACGGGGGGUAACCCCUGGUGGCGAGUGGCGAACGGGUGAGUAAUACAUCGGAACGUAUCCUGUAGCGGGGGAUAACCUCUCGAAAGAGAGGCUAAUACCGCAUACGACCUACGGGUGAAAGAGGGGGCUCGCAAGAACCUCUCACUAUUGGAGCGGCCGAUGUCGGAUUAGCUAGUUGGCGGGGUAACGGCCCACCAAGGCUACGAUCCGUAGCUGGUCUGAGAGGACGACCAGCCACACUGGAACUGAGACACGGUCCAGACUCCUACGGGAGGCAGCAGUGGGGAAUCUUGGACAAUGGGCGCAAGCCUGAUCCAGCCAUGCCGCGUGGGUGAAGAAGGCCUUCGGGUUGUAAAGCCCUUUCGGCUGGGACGAAAAGGUCCGUGCUAACACCACGGAUCCAUGACGGUACCAGCAGAAGAAGCACCGGCUAACUACGUGCCAGCAGCCGCGGUAAUACGUAGGGUGCAGGCGUUAAUCGGAAUUACUGGGCGUAAAGCGUGCGCAGGCGGUCUGCUAAGAGAGGUGUGAAAUCCCCGGGCUUAACCUGGGAACUGCGCUUCUAACUGGCAGGCUUGAGUGUGGCAGAGGGGGGUGGAAUUCCACGUGUAGCAGUGAAAUGCGUAGAGAUGUGGAGGAACACCGAUGGCGAAGGCAGCCCCCUGGGCUAACACUGACGCUCAUGCACGAAAGCGUGGGGAGCAAACAGGAUUAGAUACCCUGGUAGUCCACGCCCUAAACUAUGUCAACUGGUUGUCGGGGAAGCAAUUCCUUGGUAACGAAGCUAACGCGUGAAGUUGACCGCCU
rnacentral:rRNA from 1 species